rnacentral:rRNA from 1 species
CUACGGGGCGCUCCAGGCGCGAAACCUUUACAAUGCACGCAAGUGUGAUAAGGGGAUCCUAAGUGCUCAUGCAUAGCAUGGGCUUUUGCCAAGAGUAAAUAUCUUGGAGAAUAAGUGGUGGGUAAGACUGGUGCCAGCCGCCGCGGUAACACCAGCGCCACGAGUGGCAUCCACGUUUAUUGGGCCUAAAGCGUCCGUAGCCGGUUUGGUAAAUUUCUUGUGAAAUCGUCGGGCUCAACCCGACGGCGCGCUUGAAACACUGCCAGACUUGAGACCGGGAGGAGUUAGAGGUAUUCCAGGGGGAGCGGUAAAAUGUGAUAAUCCCUGGAGGAUCACCUAUGGCGAAGGCAUCUAACCAGAACGGAUCUGACGGUCAGGGACGAAGGCUAGGGGAGCGAUCCGGAUUAGAUACCCUCGUAGUC